AUUGAACGCUGGCGGCAUGCCUUACACAUGCAAGUCGAACGGCAGCACAGGAGAGCUUGCUCUCUGGGUGGCGAGUGGCGGACGGGUGAGGAAUGCGUCGGAAUCUGCCUAUUUGUGGGGGAUAACGUAGGGAAACUUACGCUAAUACCGCAUACGACCUACGGGUGAAAGUGGGGGACCGCAAGGCCUCACGCAGAUAG
rnacentral:rRNA from 1 species